AACGCUGGCGGCAGGCCUAACACAUGCAAGUCGAACGGUAACAGGAAGCAGCUUGCUGCUUUGCUGACGAGUGGCGGACGGGUGAGUAAUGUCUGGGAAACUGCCUGAUGGAGGGGGAUAACUACUGGAAACGGUAGCUAAUACCGCAUAACGUCGCAAGACCAAAGAGGGGGACCUUCGGGCCUCUUGCCAUCGGAUGUGCCCAGAUGGGAUUAGCUAGUAGGUGGGGUAACGGCUCACCUAGGCGACGAUCCCUAGCUGGUCUGAGAGGAUGACCAGCCACACUGGAACUGAGACACGGUCCAGACUCCUACGGGAGGCAGCAGUGGGGAAUAUUGCACAAUGGGCGCAAGCCUGAUGCAGCCAUGCCGCGUGUAUGAAGAAGGCCUUCGGGUUGUAAAGUACUUUCAGCGGGGAGGAAGGGAGUAAAGUUAAUACCUUUGCUCAUUGACGUUACCCGCAGAAGAAGCACCGGCUAACUCCGUG
rnacentral:rRNA from 1 species